AGAGUUUGAUCAUGGCUCAGAUUGAACGCUGGCGGCAGGCCUAACACAUGCAAGUCGAACGGUAACAGAAAGCAGCUUGCUGCUUUGCUGACGAGUGGCGGACGGGUGAGUAAUGUCUGGGAAACUGCCUGAUGGAGGGGGAUAACUACUGGAAACGGUAGCUAAUACCGCAUAACGUCGCAAGACCAAAGAGGGGGACCUUCGGGCCUCUUGCCAUCGGAUGUGCCCAGAUGGGAUUAGCUUGUUGGUGGGGUAACGGCUCACCAAGGCGACGAUCCCUAGCUGGUCUGAGAGGAUGACCAGCCACACUGGAACUGAGACACGGUCCAGACUCCUACGGGAGGCAGCAGUGGGGAAUAUUGCACAAUGGGCGCAAGCCUGAUGCAGCCAUGCCGCGUGUAUGAAGAAGGCCUUCGGGUUGUAAAGUACUUUCAGCGGGGAGGAAGGGAGUAAAGUUAAUACCUUUGCUCAUUGACGUUACCCGCAGAAGAAGCACCGGCUAACUCCGUGCCAGCAGCCGCGGUAAUACGGAGGGUGCAAGCGUUAAUCGGAAUUACUGGGCGUAAAGCGCACGCAGGCGGUUUGUUAAGUCAGAUGUGAAAUCCCCGGGCUCAACCUGGGAACUGCAUCUGAUACUGGCAAGCUUGAGUCUCGUAGAGGGGGGUAGAAUUCCAGGUGUAGCGGUGAAAUGCGUAGAGAUCUGGAGGAAUACCGGUGGCGAAGGCGGCCCCCUGGACGAAGACUGACGCUCAAGUGCGAAAGCGUGGGGAGCAAACAGGAUUAGAUACCCUGGUAGUCCACGCCGUAAACGAUGUCGACUUGGAGGUUGUGCCCUUGAGGCGUGGCUUCCGGAGCUAACGCGUUAAGUCGACCGCCUGGGGAGUACGGCCGCAAGGUUAAAACUCAAAUGAAUUGACGGGGGCCCGCACAAGCGGUGGAGCAUGUGGUUUAAUUCGAUGCAACGCGAAGAACCUUACCUGGUCUUGACAUCCACGGAAGUUUUCAGAGAUGAGAAUGUGCCUUCGGGAACCGUGAGACAGGUGCUGCAUGGCUGUCGUCAGCUCGUGUUGUGAAAUGUUGGGUUAAGUCCCGCAACGAGCGCAACCCUUAUCCUUUGUUGCCAGCGGUCCGGCCGGGAACUCAAAGGAGACUGCCAGUGAUAAACUGGAGGAAGGUGGGGAUGACGUCAAGUCAUCAUGGCCCUUACGACCAGGGCUACACACGUGCUACAAUGGCGCAUACAAAGAGAAGCGACCUCGCGAGAGCAAGCGGACCUCAUAAAGUGCGUCGUAGUCCGGAUUGGAGUCUGCAACUCGACUCCAUGAAGUCGGAAUCGCUAGUAAUCGUGGAUCAGAAUGCCACGGUGAAUACGUUCCCGGGCCUUGUACACACCGCCCGUCACACCAUGGGAGUGGGUUGCAAAAGAAGUAGGUAGCUUAACCUUCGGGAGGGCGCUUACCACUUUGUGAUUCAUGACUGGGGUGAAGUCGUAACAAGGUAACCGUAGGGGAACCUGCGGUUG
rnacentral:rRNA from 1 species